UGCAAGUCGAACGGUGAAGCCAAGCUUGCUUGGUGGAUCAGUGGCGAACGGGUGAGUAACACGUGAGCAACCUGCCCUGGACUCUGGGAUAAGCGCUGGAAACGGCGUCUAAUACUGGAUAUGAGCUCUCAUCGCAUGGUGGGGGUUGGAAAGAUUUUUUGGUCUGGGAUGGGCUCGCGGCCUAUCAGCUUGUUGGUGAGGUAAUGGCUCACCAAGGCGUCGACGGGUAGCCGGCCUGAGAGGGUGACCGGCCACACUGGGACUGAGACACGGCCCAGACUCCUACGGGAGGCAGCAGUGGGGAAUAUUGCACAAUGGGCGGAAGCCUGAUGCAGCAACGCCGCGUGAGGGAUGACGGCCUUCGGGUUGUAAACCUCUUUUAGCAAGGAAGAAGCUUUUGUGACGGUACUUGCAGAAAAAGCGCCGGCUAACUACGUGCCAGCAGCCGCGGUAAUACGUAGGGCGCAAGCGUUAUCCGGAAUUAUUGGGCGUAAAGAGCUCGUAGGCGGUUUGUCGCGUCUGCUGUGAAAUCCCGAGGCUCAACCUCGGGCCUGCAGUGGGUACGGGCAGACUAGAGUGCGGUAGGGGAGAUUGGAAUUCCUGGUGUAGCGGUGGAAUGCGCAGAUAUCAGGAGGAACACCGAUGGCGAAGGCAGAUCUCUGGGCCGUAACUGACGCUGAGGAGCGAAAGGGUGGGGAGCAAACAGGCUUAGAUACCCUGGUAGUCCACCCCGUAAACGUUGGGAACUAGUUGUGGGGUCCUUUCCACGGAUUCCGUGACGCAGCUAACGCAUUAAGUUCCCCGCCUGGGGAGUACGGCCGCAAGGCUAAAACUCAAAGGAAUUGACGGGGACCCGCACAAGCGGCGGAGCAUGCGGAUUAAUUCGAUGCAACGCGAAGAACCUUACCAAGGCUUGACAUACACGAGAACAUCCCAGAAAUGGGGGACUCUUUGGACACUCGUGAACAGGUGGUGCAUGGUUGUCGUCAGCUCGUGUCGUGAGAUGUUGGGUUAA
rnacentral:rRNA from 1 species